AUAAAAUGACACAUUGACAACAAGGUCAUUUACAGUAUCGAUACUAUCUAAACCAUUUGGAUCGAUCCGCCAACCCCUACGCCACACAAUUUUAUUGACAAAAGUGUGUUUUAUUAGCUGUACAUGUAGAGAUAAGCUCCCGACAACAACAACUAGUGUUUGUGGUGACAUUAGAUGAUUGAAAUGUAUGAAGAGCAAGUUGCUUUAUAUGUUGCUAACUUUGUUAGCUUCAUGUUGUCGAUAACUUUGUAAGCUUAAUGUCGCCAUGGCUAAUCCUUGUGGUGUAACUGUUUGAGCAGCAAGAUGAAUUUGUUUGUUUGUCGUUUUAUUGAACUAUGCUGAGAGCUGGCUGUGGAGAACUAUAUUUGUCUGUUUCUCAUCAGCAUUAAGUGGCGAGCUAGACAGUGGCUGUGUGCACCAUUAUUUCAACUACACCACGCAAGAUAAGAGUACUAACCCCCUACAAAGGCAAGGUGAUGUUUGUCAGAGGGAACGGGAAAAUGCAGCAUGAGCUCCAGAAGUUCCCGGGGAGUUGUUGCAAUGGACUAUGGGGUUGCUAGUUUCAACAACUUCACUGCAGAUUAAGCAUUGGAACAAGGUUUAUGGCUUGAACAGGCACCCAACGAGAGACAAGUCUACCAUUAAUAAGUCAGUCAGUCAGUCAUCAUCUUUAUCCUACUUUAUCCAGAGGGU